rnacentral:rRNA from 1 species
UACAGAGGUCCCAAGCGUUGUUCGGAUUCACUGGGCGUAAAGGGUGCGUAGGCGGUCGGGUAAGUCUGAUGUGAAAUCUCACAGCUUAACUGUGAAACUGCAUUGGAUACUAUUCGGCUUGAGAGUUGGAGGGGGGACUGGAAUUCUUGGUGUAGCAGUGAAAUGCGCAGAUAUCAGGAGGAACACCGGUGGCGAAGGCGGGUCUCUGGGCCGAUACUGACGCUGAGGAGCGAAAGCGUGGGGAGCGAACAGG